rnacentral:rRNA from 1 species
GAUGAACGCUGGCGGCGUGCCUAAUACAUGCAAGUCGAACGGAGAAUAUAGCAAUAUGUUCUUAGUGGCGAACGGGUGAGUAACGCGUUGGUGACCUGCCCCGAAGCGGGGGAUAACAGUCCGAAAGGAUUGCUAAUACCCCAUGUGAUCACCGGGAUUAGAAUCUGGUGAUUAAAGGAGAAAUUCACUUUGGGAGGGACCUGCGUCCCAUCAGCUUGUUGGUAAGGUAACGGCUUACCAAGGCAAUGACGGGUAGGGGACCUGAGAGGGUGGACCCCCACAAUGGCACUGAAACACGGGCCAUACACCUACGGGUGGCAG